rnacentral:tRNA from 1 species
GGCAUAGUGGUGUAGUAGUUUGAGUGUUGGACUACAACUCUGGAGACCAGGUUUCAAAUCCCCACUAAGCCA